GCCCAGGUGGCGAAAUGGUAGACGCGCUAGCUUGAGGGGCUAGUUCUGGCAACGGAGUGGAGGUUCGAGUCCUCUCCUGGGCACCA
rnacentral:tRNA from 2 species